rnacentral:snRNA from 1 species
AGACUCUCCUUUGCCUUUAAACCCUUCUUUCGCCUUUUUCUAAAGAUUUCCAUGGAGAGGAACAUUUAUGAGUUUCUACCCAAUUUUUUUUUUUGGAAUUCUCUCUUAUCCAUA